rnacentral:rRNA from 16 species
GUUAGAAAGUAGUGAAAUACCUCGGUGUUUAAUUGACAUCCAUUGGAAUCAGGCAACGGCGUACUCCCUAUCUUUUGUGUACCUUUGGUGAAUUUAGAAUUCUGGCGCAAAUACCAAUAAAGGUUAGAUAGACGAAAAGACCCUGUACUUCUUUACCGAUCCAU